CGGAACCCACUACCUUUACUAAUUCCUGGACCUUCUGCAGCUGCAAAAGCACAGAUUUUUCUGGGGAAAAAAGCACAGAUAUGAGCCUCCCAAAGUAUUCUCUUCUUCCUUUCUUGUUGCUUCUAGUUGUUCUUUUUACAUCUAGGAAAUCUUCAGGUGCUGAAGGAAGGCCACUCUCCCUCUCGCCACAACAAGGAUAUGCGAAGGUUUUUGGAACACUCGGAAUAGUUUGCGAGUGCUGUGAUGGAGCUGGAGGUGAAUGCACAAGUACGUGGAAGGGAUCUUGCACUAAGCUGAAAUGUCAUCCUUGGAAACAGCAUUAACAGUCCAAGAGAUAUUUUGUUUUCAUUGGCUUUUUCAUUGGCUUUCUCUUCUUCUCUAUACUUUGUAAAAUAUCCCAUAUACUACUGGAAUAAGAGGUUUUUUCUCCCCUUUAAGCUGGAUAAUGUAAACCGUUAAUUUAUACCUGAUGGAGUUCUAUGAUUCUCUGUUU